rnacentral:tRNA from 3 species
CGGGGUGUAGCGUAGCCCGGUUAUCGCGCCACAUUUGGGAUGUGGAGGUCGUGUGUUCGAAUCACACCACCCCGA